rnacentral:rRNA from 1 species
ACUCAAAUGAAUAGACGGGGGCCCGCACAAGCGGUGGAGCAUGUGGUUUAAUUCGACGCAACGCGAAGAACCUUACCAGGGCUUGACAUCCCUUGAACGCUGUAGAGAUACAGUUUUUCUUCGGAACAAGGAGACAGGUGGUGCAUGGUUGUCGUCAGCUCGUGUCGUGAGAUGUUGGGUUAAGUCCCGCAACGAGCGCAACCCCUAUUUUUAGUUGCCAUCAUUAAGUUGGGCACUCUAAAGAGACUGCCGGCUAAAAGUCGGAGGAAGGUGGGGAUGACGUCAAAUCAUCAUGCCCCUUAUGUCCUGGGCUACACACGUGCUACAAUGGUCUGUACAGAGGGUUGCUAAAUGGUGACAUGGAGCUAAUCCCAGAAAACAGAUCUCAGUUCGGAUUGUAGGCUGCAACUCGCCUACAUGAAGUCGGAAUCGCUAGUAAUCGCAGGUCAGAACACUGCGGUGAAUACGUUCCCGGGCCUUGCACACACCGCCCGU